UACAGAGGGGGCAAGCGUUGUUCGGAAUUACUGGGCGUAAAGGGCGCGUAGGCGGCCUGCUAAGUCGAACGUGAAAUCCCCGGGCUCAACCCGGGAACUGCGUCCGAUACUGGCAGGCUUGAAUCCGGGAGAGGGAUGUGGAAUUCCAGGUGUAGCGGUGAAAUGCGUAGAUAUCGGGAGGAAUACCGAUGGCGAAGGCAGGUCUCUGGGCUGACACUGACGCUCAUGCACGAAAGCGUGGGGAGCAAACAGG
rnacentral:rRNA from 1 species